rnacentral:rRNA from 1 species
GAUGAACGCUGGCGGUAUGCUUAACACAUGCAAGUCGAACGGACUCUUCGGAGUUAGUGGCGGACGGGUGAGUAAGGCGUGAGAAUAUGGCUUUGGGUUUGGGACAACUACUGGAAACGGUGGCUAAUACCGGAUGUGCCGUGAGGUAAAAGAGAAAUUGACUGGAGAUGAGCUCGCGUCUGAUUAGCUAGUUGGUGAGGUAAAGGCUCACCAAGGCAGCGAGCAGUAGCUUAUCUGAGAUGAUGACCGGCCACAAGUGGACUGGGAGGCGGCCCAGACUCCUACUGCGGGAAGGAGUGAGGAAUUACCCGGAAAGGGCGAAAGACUGACGAAGCAAUACCGAGCGAGGAAAGAAGUCACUUGGGUUGAAAACCUCUUUUCUUAGGGAAGAACAAAAUGACGGUACCUAAGGAAUCAGCAACGGCUAACUCCGUG